rnacentral:rRNA from 1 species
AUUGAACGCUGGCGGCAUGCCUUACACAUGCAAGUCGAACGGCAGCGGACCUUCGGGUGCCGGCGAGUGGCGAACGGGUGAGUAAUAUAUCGGAACGUACCUUUCAGUGGGGGAUAACGUAGCGAAAGUUACGCUAAUACCGCAUAUUCUGUGAGCAGGAAAGCAGGGGAUCGCAAGACCUUGCGCUGAUUGAGCGGCCGAUAUCAGAUUAGCUAGUUGGUGAGGUAAAGGCUCACCAAGGCGACGAUCUGUAGCGGGUCUGAGAGGAUGAUCCGCCACACUGGAACUGAGACACGGUCCAGACUCCUACGGGAGGCAGCAGUGGGGGAAUUUUGGACAAUGGGCGCAAGCCUGAUCCAGCCAUGCCGCGUGAGUGAAGAAGGCC